UACGUAGGUGGCAAGCGUUGUCCGGAUUUAUUGGGUUUAAAGGGUGCGUAGGCGGCCUUAUAAGUCAGUGCUGAAAUACUCUAGCUUAACUAGAGGGGUGGCAUUGAUACUGCAAGGCUUGAGUAUAGUCGAGGUAGGCGGAAUUGACGGUGUAGCGGUGAAAUGCUUAGAUAUCGUCAAGAACACCGAUAGUGUAGACAGCUUACUAGGCUAUAACUGACGCUGAGGCACGAAAGUGUGGGGAUCAAAC
rnacentral:rRNA from 1 species